rnacentral:pre_miRNA from 1 species
UAAGUACUAGCGCCGUAGGAGUGGGGUUUUUGGACACUCCCCCACGCCUUGGUGUUUCCC